AUCAACACACACAAACACACACAUUCGUGUGUUCUAGAAAGGAGCAGGAGCUCUCAUGAGAGCUCAAGAAACCCUAAACGUGAAGAAUCAUCAAAUCGAAGGGCAAAUCAAGGUCUAAAUUCAUGAAUGAACACGGAUUAAUGAUCACCUUCACAAGGGGAUUGUAAGGGAUCAUGUCAAGAUGGAUGGAAGCAUGGAAGGUUAACGGGUCAAAAAGAGGCGAGGAAACGGAUGCGAAUACGAACACUAAAGGUUGUACGAGUCACGAGGAUCUUCAAGGAUUAGAGAUCGAGGAUCGAGUCACAAGACAGAUUGUACGGAAACGUUGGUGUUGAAAUUUAGAAAACCCAUGUCAUGCAUUUAAUUGUAAAUGAGUCAAUUGAUGACUUCAUGUGAAAAUGGUUGUAUUAAAAUGAAGUUUUAAGUAAGUCAAGGUAAUUAUAAGGAAAGAAAGUUUAUGGCUUGAACUUCCGCUGCGACUU